rnacentral:rRNA from 1 species
UACGUAGGGAGCAAGCGUUGUCCGGAAUCAUUGGGCGUAAAGCGCGCGUAGGUGGCUUCGUAAGUCCGUUGUGAAAGUCAAAGGCUCAACCUUUGAAAGCCGAUGGAUACUGCGGAGCUAGAGUACGGAAGAGGCGAGUGGAAUUCCUGGUGUAGCGGUGGAAUGCGCAGAUAUCAGGUGGAAUACCGGUGGCGAAGGCGGCCAACUGGCCUAGCACUGACGCUGAGAUACGAAAGCGUGGGGAUCAAACAGG